rnacentral:pre_miRNA from 1 species
AGAGAGAUUGCUGGAUUUCAUGGUAAGCAUACAUUUAACUUUUUAAGAAACUCUCAAACUGUUUUCCAAAGUGUCUAUACCAUUUUGCAUUCCCACUAGCAAU